rnacentral:tRNA from 1 species
GGAGAGAUGGCCGAGUGGUUUAUGGCUCUAGUCUUGAAAACUGGCAUAGUUAAAUAUUGAAACUAUCGAGGGUUCGAAUCCCUCUCUCUCCU